rnacentral:lncRNA from 1 species
CUGUGCCUAAGAGGAAGAUGCGCUGCUCGCCGGGAGGAGCAGGGGAGCGGCCGAAUGCCCAUGGGGCGCUGCUUGUCCCCUCGGCGUCCACUCCAAGCCCUGGACCGGCGCUGCCACUUGCUCCGACAGUGGUGACCGCGCCCGCGGUGGCCAUGGCGCGUCCUGGAGUCGGGAUGAAGACGAGGCCGUCGCCCCCGGCGCCGGCGACGCGCGUCGGUGCCGGGCUGUAGCCGCGUGCAGGUACGUCGACGACGAUCUCCCGCUCCUCCUCCUCUGCCGGCGUUGGCGACGGCAGGCGUGUGCCACUGGAGCGAGCGGGGCACGGUCCAUAUCCGUGCACACGGCACCACCGUGGUGCGGAUGGAGCGGCAACUGCAGGCUCUGGUACGCCCAUCCCGGCGUUCAGCGGAGGUGGAGGGGCACUCGGUCCGGCGUGGCCGGGCGUCGGUUCACCGGCGUGGCAUGACGGCGGCGUCCAGCGGCCGCAUGAUGGCGGCGUCCAGCGGCGAAGUUCUGGCGGCGGUUAAUACCAAGGCCAGAUACUUGUGGUGGUGCGCCCCAUCGAUGGCGGACGAACCGGCGACGCUGCUCGGCAACGAAGUGACGGCGACCUUCUUCCCAGAGAAGACCAAGGAGAAGGGAGGCGAGGGACGGCAUCCUCACCGUUCCAGAUUCUUCUCCGACGAGUUCUGGCCUGUCGCUCUCGCUGGAGAGAAGUGCGUGAUAACGUGUAAAAGAACAGUGCAAUGAACAGUAAUCACUGAUAUUGAUUGAUUGCGAUGAUGUACAAAUAUAUACCUCCUGAAGAGGCGCAUCGCACAGACGCGAUGGUUACAAUAGGCACGACUGGAACGACGCGUCCGUUGCUAAUAGGAUGCGAUCGUUCGGGAGCGAAACCGACUAUCCAUUCCGCAGACAGAGAUUCUAUUAAUUAAACUAAUUAAUUAAAUCCUAACACUUACUACCCUAAUUUCCAGNNNNNNNNNNNNNNNNNNNNNNNNNNNNNNNNNNNNNNNNNNNNNNNNNNNNNNNNNNNNNNNNNNNNNNNNNNNNNNNNNNNNNNNNNNNNNNNNNNNNNNNNNNNNNNNNNNNNNNNNNNNNNNNNNNNNNNNNNNNNNNNNNNNNNNNNNNNNNNNNNNNNNNNNNNNNNNNNNNNNNNNNNUACCUACGAGUAAUUAGCGUCAAGAUUACGUCAUUACAUAUCGUUGGCCCCCCUUAAUAACUCGAGUAAAAACUAGGAGGAAAGAAAGGAGAAAAAGCCCAUAAAAAAGCCCACUCGUGCUAAUGGCAUGUCCUCCUAGUAGCAGCCAGUCCCGGGUAUUACGUGGAAAACCUAGACCCUGGCGUGAUUAACGUGUGUCCGGAGGCGAUAAGUGCCGCUGCCGGUUGUCGCUCCGGUGCCUCUGCUCCUAAUUAGAUUCCACUCUGAUUAAAUCGGGCGACACUGGCGACAGGUGAUCCUCCGUACAAUACUAUAAACUCCAACCAGGCAAGGUUAGCACGUACUCUUUUCUAAUCAAUCUGAACUCUCAUCUUAAUUCUUAUAUGUGUCGGAAAUUGUUCAUCCGAUUCUGUUAUUUUGAAUGCAUGAUCUACUAUGCUAAUUUGUUUUUCAAUUCUUUUGAUUGUGCAAUCUAUGACGCUGUCAUGAAGAGAAAAGCCCUCCUAAACACCAUAAAUAUUGAUUCGACUUUUAGGCAUGCUGCUUAAAACGCUCAAUCUACUGACAUUGUUAAAGUGGCUAAUGUGCUAGAUCCAAUUGAAGAUAGCUUGGUUCGAAAUUUCAUGAUAAUUUACACUUAGGGGCCGUUCGGCAAUGCUCCGCUCCACAGCUCCGCUCCGGGAGUUGGCGGAGCUGCAGUUUAAAUUGGCAGAGUUGCAGCUUGCCCGCUCCGUAGAUUCUAGGAGUGGAUGAAUACCGAACAGGGCCUUAAUGGGAAUUAGCUAACAGCUAGGUUAUCUUCUGAUGAAAUUGUUAAUAAUUUUAAUAUUUUUGUGAUUAUAGGGGCAAAUUUAAACUAAUAUAAAUGUAAUCACUUAUUUUAAUAGCGUUGAAGUGACAUAUUAUUCUAGUAUUAUGGAAUUAUUUUUCCGCACAGGACGAUUUUCUUUAACUAUCUUGGCUUGGCCCCCCCUAUACCCAAAUCCUGGCUCCGCCCCUGCUAAUUUCGUCCUUUUUUCGUUCGUCCAUCGUCCGUCUACUUCACCCAUAUUAUUUUCUAUAUCAGAGGUGAUACUAAUUUAUCUUUAUCUUUACCUAAUAAUUAAAACGGGUGGGAUCGGCCUCCUGGGCUGGGUAGAGGCUCGGUAGCCCAACUAGCAGUCCGGUUGGGCCAGGUUCACUUCGGCUUUUAUGCCUGUGCUUGCUUCUAUCGUACGUUUUCUGUUCAUCUGGUUUUCUCACGUAGGACGAAGUUUCUAAAAAAUGUUGGACGAAGUUAUUAUAUCCCUAAAAAAAGUAGGACCAAGUUCCACUUUUACAAUACAUGCCCAUAAUUUCUUAUCAUGCAAGAUACUCCUUCUAUAUAUAAAAAUACAGGUACGGCACGGCAACAGUCACCCACGACCGUGUAUCAUGAAGGAAUUCAUCUUACUGUGAUGCAAUCUCGCUCCCUCCGUCGUCUACACUAUAUAUAGCCAUACUACUUUCCCCGUCAAAACAUAGCUACAGCCGCAACAUCUGGUACACCUUGCCUGAUCUGUCGUGGAGGACACGGAUGAGGCGGACUAAGGGAACAUCACUAGAUCAUCCAACAUGAAUCUGUAGCGGCGAUGCCGUUCCACGGCAAGCCCAAGCAACGACAGAAUCAUCUCUGGGUACCUGAUCAAGAUGCUUCUCGGAUGGUACGUCGGAGUUCGUCCUGGUCAUAUCAUGCAAGAAUAUGAUGGAUCGAUCACAGAAGUCAUGCCCAAGCGAGGCUGCGUCCGGCCGUGACAUGGAUGACUAACAGUCCGUGUCGCUGUCCUCCGAUCUCAAGCAAGUUGGUACCUACCAACGAAGUCCGCGCCCUUCUCCAUCCGGUGGAUCGUAUCCAGCCACCCCACCCUCACCUUCUUCCUUCAUGCCCUAUGCCGACGCUCAAGGUCACUGCAUGCUCAGUGUGCUUUUUCUGUUUGCUCCACAUGUCGUGUGUUGCGUGCUUACUUGGCUCGUGCGUGCGUGAUGAUGGAAAGCAUGGCUUACUGUGCAUCACUUCGUGACGCUGAUUAUGUGCUACUGCGGCCGAUUGCUAUUGCUACUGAUGCUGAUUAUGCGGGUCCUUAGUACUUCCCUAUGCAAUAUGUAGAUAGAAAGAUGAUCAGCAUAUUUAUAAAAUUCUUGCAAAUUAAACUGACUAUUUAUUAUCUCUUCUCUAAUAUUUCUCUAGACCAGAAUAUCUUUCUUUUUUGCGUGUAAGAUCAGAAUCUCCUUUGUGCUCUCUAUUGCAAAAUUGCUCAAUAUACAAUUGAUUCCAUGGUCCCUAUGCCGUACAAUUUUUAGACUUACAUGCAUGUGUCACUUUCAAUUGCAGAGAAGAUAUUACCAUUAUUUUCAAAAAAUAGAAAGUAGGAUUUUGGCGCCCAUGAUCCAUCUGAGGUAUCCCGUUGUACAACAUGAGUACUAAAUUGUAAUUCUCAACAUGGACUUUUGCUUGACAAUCUGGUCAAGAUUUCUGUGGUAGUAACUAUAUGAUUGGUAUUUACAUGUUGUUAGUUUUAUCCAUUCAGUAAUUCUUUUGCUCCAAAAUAACUAACUUUGUUGAAAUAAAAAUCACAGACUAUCGAACUCAUUUGUUUGUGGAAAAACCAAUAUAUUUUUUUUGUCUCCUGCAGGAGCCUAAGGUUGAUUUUAAGCAAUACCCGGGGUGUGUUGACAAUUGAGGAACAUUGUUGUGAACCAUAGAGUUUGACAUUUUGUUUGAAAUCUAGGAAGUGCUUUCGACUAAGAAUCUAUUUUUUAAGGUAUGUGCGUUGGAUCAAAGAUAAUCAGUUAUAUUUUAAUUGCAUAUGAUGUGGAAGUAUAGGUUUACUUUAACACAUUCAAGUGCAAGUGCAAUCGAUAUAUAAGUUGCUUUGUGACAAUAUGCAUCCAUAGAUCUUUGUAAACAUUAAAUUGUUCAUGAGCCGUUAUAUUUUGUCCAUAAAAUGCUAAUUACAUUUGAAUACAUAUUGAUUUUAUCUUCCGUUGCAACACACGGGCAUAUGUGCUAGUAACUUCUAAACAAUUUAAGUAAUCUUGGAGCGGCAUUCGGUGUUAAGAUAUUCAGUACCACUAUGAUUAAUUUACAUACGUGUCGUGCAGUAGCUGAGCUCAUCGCCUUGGGAUUGACCAUGCCCGCAUGUGUUGAGAUCAGGUUAACACUGCAACCACCCUCAACGAUGAAGGAAUGGACGAUAAGUGGCGAUAAAGAUGAACUCCGUGUUGAAAUAGAGGGCGUGGAUAUGUAAGGGGUAUUGUACCAUGCUUAUCACGCUAGAGACUGUGCGAACUAGCGGAACGUCUUGCCUUCUCAGGCCGACGGGUUCAUGUUAAAUAGAUGGGGCGCACCUCCCAUAACAGCGCAUACAUUCAGUUGCGAUUACAUGCUUGGAGAUCAAGAAAGGACAUAGAGAUAAGAAGUUACAUGAGAUAAACAUGAUAUCUAACAACCUAACCAUCUCCUAAGAUGCGCCUGUCAUGUAGAUAUUGAAGUGUUUAACACCCUCCCUUAAUCACAACUCCAUUAAGUUGAGAUUAUACUUGAUGUUUUCAAAGCUCUUGACAGGCAAUGCCUUUGUGAAUCCAUCUGCAAUUUGAUCACUGGAAUGCACAGAACGAAUGUCAAGUUGUUUGUGAGCCACCCUUUCUCUGACAAAAUGAAAAUCUAUCUCAAUGUGUUUGGUCCUGGCAUGAAACACUGGGUUAGCUGAAAGAUAGGUGGCACCAAGGUUAUCACACCACAAACAUGGAGCUUGUUUACUCUUUAUACAAAGUUCCUUGAGCAUGGAUUGGAUCCAUAUGAUUUCAGCUGUGGCAUUUGCCAAAGCCUUAUAUUCUUCCUCUGUACUAGAUCUUAAGACUGUAGCUUGCUUGCGAGCACACCAUGAUAUUAAGUUGGGUCCAAAGAAAAUAGCAAAACCACCAGUAGAGCGUCUAUCAUCAAGACAGCCUGCCCAAUCAGAAUAAGAGAAUGCACUGACAAGUGUAGAGGAUGAUUUGCUGAAAUUAAGACCCAUGCUUAAUGUGUUUUUGACAUAUCUAACUAUCCGUUUGGCAGCAGUGAGAUGAACAGUUGUAGGUGCAUGAAGGAACUGACAUACUUUGUUAACAGCAAAAGAAAUAUCAGGCCUAGUAAGAGUAAGAUAUUGAAGAGCUCCUACGAAGCUUCUGUAUUUUGUGCUGUCCUCUUGAGUCAAGAGAGUUCCUUGUGUGAGAGAUAAUUUUUCUGAGCUAGAUAGUGGAGUAGGUGUAGGUUUACAACCUUGUAGACCAGCUUUUCUUACCAAGUCAACUACAUACUUUUCUUGAGAGAGAUGAAGUCCAUCCUUAUGCCUCUUUACUUCAAUCCCAAGAAAAUAAUGCAAGUCUCCAAGAUCCUUCAAGGCAAAGUCUGCACUCAAAUCUUUUAACAGUCCUGUGAUAGCUUCAUCAGAUGAGCUUGUCACAAUAAUAUCAUCAACAUAUAUUAGGACAAAUAUGCAUGUAUUGGACUUGUUGUAGAUGAACAGAGAGGUGUCAGACUUUGAAGGAACAAAACCAAGUGUUUGCAUUUUGUGACAGAGACGGGAGUACCAUGCUCUUGGUGCCUGUUUCAGACCAUAAAGUGCUUUGUCCAACUUGCACACAUGAGAGGGUGCACUUUUACUUAUAAACCCAGGAGGUUGUUUCAUAUAUACCUCCUCUUCCAGAACACCAUGAAAAAACGCGUUCUGAACAUCAAGUUGCCUGAGACUCCAUCCCCUAGAAACAACAAUAGACAAAACAAGACGGAUAGUGGCAGCUUUAACAACCGGACUAAAUGUGUCCUCGUAAUCUAUGCCAUACCGUUGUUUAAAACCCUUUGCAACGAGCCUAGCUUUGUAGCGAUCAAUAGUUCCAUCAGAUUUCCUUUUAAUUCUGAAUACCCACUUGCAAUCAAUUAAAUUUUUACCUUGCCGCGGGGAAACUAAAUGCCAAGUUUUAUUUUUCUUGAGUGCCAUGUAUUCUUCAUUCAUAGCAUUUUUUCAGCUUUCAUCACCAAGUGCUUCCUCAAGCGUCUGUGGUUCACCUGGUUCACCUAUAGAACAAACCAUACCAUAUUUGGUUAUGUGUUUAUAAUUAACGGGAUGUAUUACCCCAUGAUGUAGUCAUGUACGUCAUGACGGUGCAGUAGCAGGAUCCCCAGCCACAGAGAAUCCUGGACCAGAAGCUCCUGUAGCAGAAUCUGCUCCCGCCGAAUCUUCUGUGGCAGUUUGAUCAAGUGCAGCAUCUUCGGUUGGCCUCCUCAUUGGUGGAUGAUGGCUGCUACCUCUUGAGCACUGCGUUGGUUUUCCCUUAAAGAGGAAAGGGUGAUGCAGUAAAGUAGCCUAAGUAUUUCCCUCAGUUUUUGAGAACCAAGGUAUCAAUCUAGUAGGAAACCACGCUCAAGUCCCGCGUACCUACACAAACAAAUAAGAACCUUGCAACCAACGUGAUAAAGGGGUUGUCAAUCCCUUCAUGGCCAUUUGCAAAAGUGAGAUCUGAUAGAGAUGAUAAGAUAAUAGUUUUGGUAUUUUUACGAUAAAGACUAAAAAUAAAGAAAGCAAAAUAAAUGGCGGUAAAAAAUAACAGGAGAUAAAUAUGAUAGAGAAUAGACCCGGGGGCCAUAUGUUUCACUAGUGGCUUCUCUCAAGAGCAUAAGUAUUACGGUAGGUGAAUAAAUUAUUGUCAAGCAAUUGAUAGAAUUGAGCAUAGUUAUGAGAACAUCUAGGUAUGAUCAUGUAUAUAGGCAUCACGUCCGCGACAAGUAGACCGACUCCUGCCUGCAUCUACUACUAUUAUUUCACACAUCGACCGCUAUCCAGCAUGCAUCUAGAGUAUUAAGUUCAUAAGAACAGAGUAACGCAUUAAGCAAGAUGACAUGAUAUAGAGGGAUAAACUCAAGCAAUAUGAUAUAAACCCCAUAUUUUUAUCCUCGAUGGCAACAAUACAAUACGUGUCAUUUCCCCUUCUGUCACUGGGAUCGAGCACCGCAUGAUUGAACCCAAAGCUAAGCACUUCUCCCAUUGCAAGAAAGAUCAAUCUAGUACGCCAAACCAAACUGAUAAUUCGAAGAGACUUGCAAAGAUAUCAAAUCAUACAUAAAAGAAUUCAGAGGAGAUUCAAAUAUUGUUCAUAGAUAAUCUUGAUCAUAAACCCACAAUUCAUCGGAUCUCGACAAACAUACCGCAAAAGAAGAUUACAUCGAAUAGAUCUCCAAGAGAAUCGAGGAGAACUUUGUAUUGAGAUCCAAAGAGAAAGAAGAAGCCAUCUAGCUAAUAAAUAUGGACCCGAAGGUCUGAGGUAAACUACUAACACAUCAUCGGAGAGGCUAUGGUGUUGAUGUAGAAGCCCUCCGUGAUCAAUGCCCCCUCCGGCAGAACACCGGAAAAGGCCCCAAGAUGGGAUCUCACGGAUACAGAGAGUUGUGGCGGUAGAAAUAGGGUUUCUUCGUUCUUGUUGAUGUUUCCAGGGUAUAUGGGUAUAUAUAGGUGAAAGAAGUCGGUCAGGAGAGACACGAGGGGCCCACGUGGGGGCGCGCCCAGGGGGGUAGGGCACGCCACCCUCCCUCAUGGCAUCCUCGUUCAUUUCUUGAUGUCCACUCCAAGUCCUCUGGAUCACGUUUGUUCCAAAAAUCACGUUCCCGAAGGUUUCAUUUCGUUUGGCUCCGUUUGAUAUUCCUUUUCUAAGAAACACUGAAAUAGGCAAAAAAACAACAAUUUGGGCUGGGCCUCCAGUUAAUAGGUUAGUUCCGAAAAUAAUAUAAAAGUGUAUAAUAAAUCCCGUUAAACAUCCAAAACAGAAUAUAUAAUAGCAUGAAACAAUAAAAAAUUAUAAAUACGUUGGAGACGUAUCAAGCAUCCCCAAGCUUAAUUCCUGCUCGUCCUCGAGUAGGUAAAUGAUAAAACAGAAUUUUGAUGUGGAAUGCUACUUAGCAUAAUUUUCAAUGUAAUUUUCUUCAUUGUGGCAUGAAAUUCAGAUUCGAAAGAUUUAAGAUAAAAGUUUAAUGUUGACAUAAAAACAAUAAUAUUUCAAGCAUACUAACAAAGCAAUCAUAUCUUCUCAAAAUAACAUGGCCAAAGAAAGUUAUCCCUACAAAAUCAUAUGGUCUGGCUAUGCUCUAUGUUCACCACACAAAAUAUUUAAAUCAUGCACAACCCCGAUGACAAGACAAGCAAUUGUUUCAUACUUUUAGUGUUCUCUAACUUUUUCAAUUUUCACACAAUACAUGAGCGUGAGCCAUGGACAUAGCACUAUAGGUGGAAUAGAAUGGUGGUUGUGGAGAAGACAAAACGGAGAAGAUAGUCUCACAUCAACUGGGCGUAUCAACGGGUUAUGGAGAUGCCCAUUGAUAGAUAUCAAUGUGAGUGAGUAGGGAUUGCCAUGCAACGGAUGCACUAGAGCAUGGCCGGAGACCUGUACAAGCCUCGUGUUAAAACGACAGAUUAUAUCCAUGCAUUGCACACAUGUAUAUAUACAGAUGCAUGACAUAUGUGGGAACAUAUACGUGCAUGUGUACUACCAUGGUGCAACCGAACAUAUCCAUGGUGGUGUGUGAUGCGAUGUAACGUCUCCUCUCCCAGCCGACGCCAAGAAGUACUCCUCGCUCGACUAACAGAGCCGGACUCAGAGUUCCUAAUCCUUGCUUUUCCAUAUUAUGUUAUAGUAGCCGGACACAGAGUAUUUAAUCUGGUCAAAUGCUCCUGGAUGAGCAGUAAAUUUGAAUAAGGUAGAAAAAAUUCAAAAAAUUCAGAUUUUUUUGACAAAACGUUAAGAAAUGUUUAGAGUGCAUGUAAAAUGUCAUCACAAGAUCACAUUGGUGGAAGGCGUGGCAAGAAUAACAAAAUUGAUGUUCUCAAAAUGGUAAAAGGAUACAUUCAAAAGCAUUUUGGAGCUAUGAUUUUGCUUUUUUUGCCAUGCCUUCCACCAAUGUUAUUUCGUGAUGAAAUUUUGCAUGCACAUCAAACAUUCCUUAAAAAAUUUCCACGCAAAAGAUCAAAACUUUUUUCCCCUUUUCUUGAUUUUACUGUUCACCCGAGGAGCAUUUGAGCUCGAGAUUAGAAAGGUACUUUCGCCAGAUGAAGGAACUCUAUGCUACAAUCCUGAUCCCGUCGGACAUUAAUGUUGUUUCGCAACCCAUCAACCUGGCCAACCCUGUGCCUCAUGGCAGUCCGUGUUUGCUCCGUAAACAGAGCAUGAAUAUACAACUGAAAAUUACACCCAUGGUACAACUGAAAACAGUGUAAGCAAUUCUUUGUUUUGUUUGUAUCCUUAUCAGUUGCUCUAAUCUAUAUCUGUACCUUCUAAUAAAGGGGCUAUUGCUUCUUACUGUAAAAGAACAGUGCAAUGAACAGUAAUCACUGAUAUUGAUUGAUUGCGAUGAUGUACAAAUAUAUACCUCCUGAAGAGGCGCAUCGCACAGGCGCGAUGGUUACAAUAGGCACGAUUGGAACGACGCGUCCGUUGCUAAUAGGAUGCGAUCGUUCGGGAGCGAAACCGACUAUCCGUUCCACAGACAGAGAUUCUAUUAAUUAAACUAAUUAAUUAAAUCCUAACACUCCCCCUAAUCUCUGCUUCAAUUAUUCUUGUANNNNNNNNNNUUUGCUCCCACAGGGAACACAUGCUGAGGAGUGGGUAUUACUGCAGUAAAUACCCCUCUUUUUAUGAGCGAGCGCAAUUCGUCCUCAAUUGCUGCCUUCCAUUUGGACCAGUCUGAGUGCUUCAUGCACUCUGCCAUGGACUUAGGUUCUCGAUCCAAAUCAAGGCCUUCUGCAAUUCUAGAUGCAAAAUAAAUGUCGACAACUGUAGUCUUUCUAUUGUAUGAUUCUCCUGAAUCAAUAUAAUUAAUGGAUAUCUCAUCAAUACCUUUUGAUCCUUCGUGAUUUCCCUCAACAAUUGGAUCAAGGUCUUCUGAUGUCCCAACACCAAAAUUUGUGUGCACACUCGUGUUGGGUUCUGGAUGUCCAACAUCCUUCAGGUGUCCAUCAACCCUAGGUUGAAUAUCAACAUUUUGUUGACUUGCAUUUACUAUUUGAGGAUUCCUCAUUCCCCUUGGACGCUUUUGCAAAGCCUUGUCCUUUGUGUCCAGAUUCCUCCCCCUCUUAGGUGGCUGAGUAGAUCUAUGGGUCACAUCCACUCUCUCUGGCACAUUCAUAGCGGGAACAUUUGAUUUUGUGACACCUUUAUAAUCAGUAAAUGCAUNNNNNNNNNNGCUACAGACUUAAAGUCUUGGAAUCGGACUAGCGCCCAUUCCCGUUGCGCUUCAGGCAACAUCACCGCCCUUUGUUGAUCAUACCUCUCCUUUAAGGAGUUCCAGAGUGUCAGAGGGCUCUCCUCCAUCAGAUACUCUGUCUUUAGGUCAGGGUGAAGGUGAUGUCGAAUGAAGUGCAACGCCGAAUACCUUAUUAUGUCUGUUACAGAUGAAGUCCCUUGGGCAGGUGUGGUUAUAGCGGAAUUGAGUCCCUUGGCCGUCAAAUUGAUUUUGACAUCCAUUGCCCAUGUUAAAUAGUUGGAGCCAUCGACGGCAAGUUCAGCAAAUUCUUUUUUAGAUAUGUCAGCCAUAUCCUGCAUGCAAUCAUCAUACUUAUUAAUUUACUCUGUCAUAGCAAAUUAAUUGUGUUGUAAAUAAAACAAUGCAUGUAUAUUGAUCAACAUAUAGCAAUUGCUAAAUUGCCGGAACAUAUACGUUGACAUACAUUGUACUUGUACAAUACAGUAAUACACACUAAUUCCUGAACAGUACAAUAUAGUAAUUUACACAAAUUACUAGAUAACUAGUCACAACUUCAAACUGCUAGUUAAAGAACUAAAUAUAAAAAGAAAAACGAAAAAAAUGGUCUUGGGUCGCAUACAGGGAGAUCCAAACCAGUAACAUCGCCCACUGCUACAGUAUUGCUACAGUAAAUUUCCCCUACCACCCCCAAUCCUCUUUCCAGGCGGCGCGGCCCUCCUCUGUUCCUGCCGCCGUGUCGUACGCGCGCUCACCAGCGAGCCGCCGGCGGCGAAGGGGCCAAAUCCUCCUCGUCCGACGAGGGGGUGUAGUCGAUGCCGUUCGGGAGGUUGGCUGUGAGCCCGAGCGUCGCCGGAUCCCACGCUCCUGGACGCCGUCCAGGACGGCGGUCGACGGCAGCGAUGGAGCGCACGAAGAGAAGACGGCGGCUUGCGCCGGUGUCGGGCGGACCCGCGCUGCUGCUCGUGCCAGCGACGUCCGUAGCGGGUGUCCCUCCUGUGCCUAAGAGGAAGAUGCGCUGCUCGCCGGGAGGAGCAGGGGAGCGGCCGAACGCCCAUGGGGCGCUGCUUGUCCCCUCGGCGUCCACUCCAAGCCCUGGACCGGCGCUGCCACUUGCUCCGACAGUGGUGACCGCGCCCGCGGUGGCCAUGGCGCGUCCUGGAGUCGGGAUGAAGACGAGGCCGUCGCCCCCGGCGCCGGCGACGCGCGUCGGUGCCGGGCUGUAGCCGCGUGCAGGUACGUCGACGACGAUCUCCCGCUCCUCCUCCUCUGUCGGCGUUGGCGACGGCAGGCGUGUGCCACUGGAGCGAGCGGGGCACGGUCCAUAUCUGUGCACACGGCACCACCGUGGUGCGGAUGGAGCGGCAACUGCAGGCUCUGGUACGCCCAUCCCGGCGUUCAGCGGAGGUGGAGGGGCACUCGGUCCGGCGACAAGCCCUGGGUCCAGACCCUGGCGGUUGUCAACCGGCGUGGCCGGGCGUCGGUUCACCGGCGUGGCAUGACGGCGGCGUCCAGCGGCCGCAUGAUGGCGGCGUCCAGCGGCGAAGUUCUGGCGGCGGUUAAUACCAAGGCCAGAUACUUGUGGUGGUGCGCCCCAUCGAUGGCGGACGAACCGGCGACGCUGCUCGGCAACGAAGUGACGGCGACCUUCUUCCCAGAGAAGACCAAGGAGAAGGGAGGCGAGGGACGGCAUCCUCACCGUUCCAGAUUCUUCUCCGACGAGUUCUGGCCUGUCGCUCUCGCUGGAGAGAAGUGCGUGAUAACGUGUAAAAGAACAGUGCAAUGAACAGUAAUCACUGAUAUUGAUUGAUUGCGAUGAUGUACAAAUAUAUACCUCCUGAAGAGGCGCAUCGCACAGACGCGAUGGUUACAAUAGGCACGAUUGGAA